AACAUGCUUUAGGUCCACCUCUGGGAUAUAUCUGUUGUGCCUUGCUGGUAAAUCUGUGGUGGUCUUCAGAGACCGGCAGGUUAUAUGCACCAACUUUAGUUGUUGCACAGUCAAGUGUGCUUGAUCAUUAGCAUGUAAUAUACUUGCAUAGUAGCCUCUUUGAUGUGAAUGAUCUGUUGCUUCAGACUGUAUUCUGCUAUUGGGACUUUGCUGCAUGGGCAUAUU